rnacentral:rRNA from 1 species
UACGGAGGGGGCUAGCGUUGUUCGGAAUUACUGGGCGUAAAGGGCUCGUAGGCGGCCAACUAAGUCAGACGUGAAAUCCCCAGGCUCAACCUGGGAACUGCGUCUGAUACUGGUUGGCUUGAAUCCGGGAGAGGGAUGCAGAAUUCCAGGUGUAGCGGUGAAAUGCGUAGAUAUCUGGAGGAAUACCGGUGGCGAAGGCGGCAUCCUGGACCGGCAUUGACGCUGAGGAGCGAAAGCCAGGGGAGCAAACGGG